UCCCUGAUGUUAGCGGCGGACGGGUGAGUACACGUGGGUAACCUGCCUGUAAGACUGGGAUAACUCCGGGAAACCGGGGCUAAUACCGGAUGGUUGUUUGAACCGCAUGGUUCAAACAUAAAAGGUGGCUUCGGCUACCACUUACAGAUGGACCCGCGGCGCAUUAGCUAGUUGGUGAGGUAACGGCUCACCAAGGCGACGAUGCGUAGCCGACCUGAGAGGGUGAUCGGCCACACUGGGACUGAGACACGGCCCAGACUCCUACGGGAGGCAGC
rnacentral:rRNA from 1 species